CUGAGCAUGCGCCAUGGAAAGGGACGGAAGUUAGUCGUCUUGAUUGGUGUUGCAAGAGAUGCUUGUUUAUAGGGAGGCCCAGUUUCAACAACUGAUUUUCCUUCCUCAUCUUCUUCCUCUUCCUCUGGUAUUUCUUCCAAGGAGGCUCCAACAAUACAAUUGGCCAGAUACUUACAAUGUACAAUAAAUAAUAAGAUGGUGAAAGGUAAUGAUGAUGUCAUCCAUUCAGUCGAGUGAGACUUUCCCGUAACUUUGCUGCGAUGGAGAUGCAUCUGGCGGGUCCGCGGCG